UACGGGGGGAGCAAGCGUUGUUCGGAUUUACUGGGCGUAAAGGGCGCGUAGGCGGCCACCGCAAGUCGGUUGUGAAAUCUCUGGGCUUAACCCAGAAAGGUCAACCGAUACUGCGGGGCUAGAGUGCAGAAGGGGCAACUGGAAUUCUCGGUGUAGCGGUGAAAUGCGUAGAUAUCUGGAGGAACACCGGUGGCGAAGGCGGCAUCCUGGACCGAUAUUGACGCUGAGGAGCGAAAGCCAGGGGAGCAAACGGG
rnacentral:rRNA from 1 species